rnacentral:sRNA from 1 species
ACCUGGGUAACGGGUCCCGGCUUUGGAAGCUCCCGCGGCGCCACGAUGGACCUCGAGGAGGCGGAAGAGUUUAAAGAACGCUGUACUCAGUGUGCUGCUGUCUCAUGGGGUCUUACUGAUGAAGGCAAAUAUUAUUGCACUAAUUGCCACAAUGUUACAGAGAGAUCUCAGGAAGUUACAAGCACUGAUCUUAUUCCUAAUACCCAAAUAAAAGCCCUCAACCGGGGGCUUAAAAAAAAAAGCAAUACUGAAAAAGGCUGGGAUUGGUAUGUGUGUGAAGGUUUCCAGUACAUUCUUUAUCAACAAGCAGAAGCCUUAAAGAACCUUGGAGUAGGCCCAGAGUUAAAGGGAAUGUCCUGUGUGUUAUUCACAAUUUGAGAACAAAAUCGUUUGGUGUAUGUACAUAACGUCUAUCAGGACUUGAGUUCCACAGAAUGCACUUUGGACAGUGAUAUGCUAAACCAGUCGUCCACCUGAGUGUGCAUCAGAAUCACCUGGAGUGCUUGA